ensembl:lncRNA
CCAGGAAAAACUUCCGGAGCCUCAGCAGCUGUGGCUCUCUUUAACAGAGGGGAGUGAGACGUCUACUGUUCCUGUGGUCACUAUGGGGCCGGCUAUUGUCAAUCCACCUGCACCUGCCCUGUCCACACCUCUGACACAAGACUCCAUUGACAACAUUACGGAAGGCAUCUUGGAGAAGCAGCGGCAGCAGCACCACCAGCCAGAAGAGAAGAGAAGACAAGCAAAGACUUGUCUUGCCUGUGGACAGCCCAAGUCUCGAUACGAGACUGAUGAAGAAACUAUUAUUGCUUUAUUGUGUUCCAGAAAUCUCACACGCUCUUCCCCUGCUGCUGAGGUCUUCUCCAUGGCGAGAGUGCACAUUCAUUUGUUGUGUACACGCACAUAGUACUCUCUUGUUUACAGUCAUUUAGAGCGCAGGGAUAUAUGCCUGUUUGCUAUGUUCAAUUAGUCAUUAUGUUUGAAUGCUGGCCUUAAAUGUUCCAUAUCAUUUCUGAAAUGCUUAUCUUUAUGAUUACAAGCCACACUUUUUACAUUUGUAUGAAACGUGUGGUCCUGUUUGAUAUAUUUACUUUGAUACAUAUAUUUUGUCUUUUAUGAAUGUGACUUUAUUUUAUGUUAUAUCUGUGUGAUUCAGACUAUGUCAAACUGACCUUAAUGCAUGUCAUGUUCUACUUGUCAUAUUAACUAGCACUAUAUGUAUUUAUUUAGUAUAUUAACUAGCACUAUAUGUAUUUAUUUAGUAUAUUCUCUUCUGCCACCCUACUCCUUACCCUGUGCCCUGAUCAGCUCUCCUACCUCACCCAGGCCAGCAUCAUGCAGAUGCCCCCUUUUGAUCAAGUUUCCUUCUUUUUAAAGGGAGGUUUCUCAUUGCUAAUUGGUGUUUGUAGUUUUCCUUUGUCAUUGUAUUAUGUGUGUACUGUUUUGUCAUAUUUAAUUGUUGGCCUUACAUUAUUAUUUCUAAAACACUUAUCUUUAAUAACAGUCCACGCUAUUCCAUUUGUGUAAAUACUGAGACAUGUAUAAAUCAUUUCACAUGUUGUCAAUAAAACUAUGAACAUAAAUAAAAAUGGAACUUUCUUUUAAAUAUUACACACUGCCUUUUUGUCCUGCUUAAAUGAAAACAAUAUAGCUUUUUUUCAGCUUAAUUAUACCAUGUACAACCAUAGGUUCUGUGCCAUAAAAAAUAAUCCAAGUCUGCUGGUUCAGUUCAUUUGAGCAGUACAGAGGAUAUCAAUGAUGAUUAAACACACUGACAAACAAGAACUAAAAAACAUUAGUACAUUUCUACAAGAAUACUGGCAAUAUGAUGGAGUAGGAUUUUACUAUGCUCCAAGACGUAGCAUUUACAUCCUAUAAAUUUGAUAGAAACUCCAAUUUUUUUUUUUACAUAAAACUAUUUUACAUAGAAAGUUGCAAUUAUUAUCAAUGCUUUCUACUCAUCUCACAUUCGACAACACCCCAAUGGGGAUACAAACCCGUUACAGCUAUACGCGACUGGCCACAGGGUGCCAAACCUGCACUCUGAUCACAACACCAAAAAGCCAGACUCGAUGGUAUGGCAGUCAGAGAACAUACUCAUGUGUAGUGACGGCACAUCGUCACACUGCCCUCCCCUUCGGAAGCACACCCUUGUGCUUCACACACACAGGCCUUCCUCAUGCAUCCACCAACCGUGCUUCUCCCAUCCCAGGGCGCCCCACACACAAGUGCUUCACCCAUCUAUCCGGGUCCCUCACACAGGGGUCAACCCCCGGGGGGUCCCUCAUAAGGUUUACAGGCACGCCUCCGGUGACCUCACAGCAAAUCACCCCAUCGCUGCCACCAAGUGUCAGCGGGUGAUUGUGUCAAGGGUCUUUUAGGGUCAAAGGGUGAUGGUGUCGAGGGUCUUUUAGGGUCUGUUAGGGUGAUGGUGUCGAGGUCUUUUAGGGUGAUGGUGUCGAGGGUCUUUUAGGGUAGGCACAAAGAGCAGCAGGGAGACAAAAACACUGGUUUGAAAUGUAUGUCCUCCACCAGGUGCAGAACCCAAGAAGGUGAAAAAAUAAACAAAAACACUAAUAAUAUAAAUUGAAACAAAAGAUAUUUGCAAACAGCUGUAGCUCAAUAAGUAACAGCCUCACACUUCUGAGGAAGAUAGAGAAAAACACACACUAAGCUCACACCAAAGAAGCUCUCCGCACAGAAGCCUCCCCACUACUACCAAGCUAACCCCUUUAUCAGGUAGCUGGACUCCCCCUAAUUGGCCCAUACCAUCAAAGGCCCAUAGCACAGGGGUGAUGGCAUGUGGCAGAAUAAAUUCCCUUUAAACAAAGUUAAAAUGAUUCCAAUAGUAAUUCUAUCAAAGUCAGGCAUUCAACAUAAUAUCAACAAUAGAUACAGUUCACAUUCACCAUUAAAAAACCUUAUAACUCAAUUAAUUGAUUUUGCGAGGGCGAAACCAUGUUCCUCGCGAACCUGCCCAAACCAUCAGGUUGUCCCGGGACGGGAGCGCACUUCAUAAGAGGAAAAGAUCCAAUGGCGGCAAGAACUCAUUCAAGCUUGUUAGUUGAACAAGAAUGGUAUGUACGUCAUUCGUAUGUGCUAUAUGUAAAGACAACUGAAUAACAGCGAUUUGACAGAAAACAUUUUGUGUAAUAAAACUACGUUUUUGACCAUGGUGGGAGGUGAAAUGUUUGGCGUGGUGAUGGCGAUAAGUGUACCCCCCUAUGCUUCAACACACGCCAGCCAAGAUAAACCAGUUCAGAGUUAUCUGGGGAUGUACAAUAAGGACUUUAGAAGUCUCCGUUGGCAGUUAAAAGUUAUAACAAAGUCCAUUGUGUCCGCCAUUAGGAAACGCGCCCUCACACACGCAAAACAGAACAAAACUAUUAAUAGGCGAGAUAUGAGAUGUCAUUUAAUAUUACAUUUUAUUUAUAGUCUGUGCACACAGGACUGAGUGUGAGAAGGCCGGGAACAAUGAAACAAUGACAGCAGAAAAUAAUAAUCUUGUAAAAUAUUGAAAUCCAAAAAAUGACUAAAAGAAAAGCAUGAGAAAACCACUGACACUUUAUUUAGAAAUAUGAACAGUGAUUUUUUUUUACACAAAAAUCUGUUACUCUAUUGUUGCCCGUACCUGGAACAAGGGAGAACUUCAGAAUACACAUUAGAGCCAAAACAUCAUUCUUAUUCUCUACACGAAUUUCCCCAAACACACAAAAUGAAAAGGAAUGACUGCCUAAUUCAUCAUUAAAUUAAAAUUGGGACUGGGAUUGAGAUAGAGUACCCAACAUAGUGUGUCCCGGCCCUCAGUUACACACAUACUGGUCGGCACAAAUUAACCUAUAUACAGUUCCAUACCAUAACCUGUUUACAGUGAAUUCUAGCUACCACCAAUCAGAAAGUGAUUUCAGACUGGCAUGACUCCCCCCUGGCAGCUCCUAGACACUGGACAGACCUCAUGGAAUGUGAGAAUCUUCAGACUGUGACAUCACAAUCCCUACAGCCUGUUUCCAUUCAUCAGACAGGCCUUCUGUUCAUCGAGGCUGGACACCCAUUCAAAUUCAGUCCUUCUCCUCCACCUCUGUAAAGAUGUUACUGAGAAAGUACUCCGAUAUACUUGUGGGCUCCUCUGAGUGAUGCCUGACGCUGGAGUCUCUUGAUUCAGACGAGAUCACCUCAUGAUUCUGCUGAACAAAUGACAGAAAGAGAUAAAGAGUUCCUUUAAUUAAAGUUCUUACUUUAAAGAGGACCCAAUAUGUUCAUUUCCAAGGUUCACCAUUUUAUUUUUGGGGUCUACCAGAAUAUACAGUCCUGCUUCAAUGUUCCAAAAACACAUUUUUCUCAUACAGUGCAUCUCUAUUCACCCUCUGUCUGAAACGCUCUGUUGAGCUCCAGUGUCUUUAAGCAACCUCUCUCAAUGAGCCCAGUGUUCUCUGAUUGGUCAGCUAGGCGGGUAGUAAGGAUUGUGUUACGAUAACGAGUCAUCUUGUGACAAAGAAAAAGACUAGAAUGCCAACGAGGCAUUUCAGGCAGUUGAGAACAGUCUAGGGUGUACUUUGGGCUUGGGAACUUUGAAAAGUCUAAUAGACCAUGUGUAAGUUAGUAGCAAAGGACAAUGUGUACGUUUUGAUAUCAAUUGUCUUUGUUUUUGUGAAGUAUGCACUUCAUUACACAAUGAUCAGUGGUUCUCAAACAUGGGAGGGGGGGGGGGGAGACGGGGAACUCUCAUUCGCAAAAUCCAAGUACUGUAGAACAGUUUGGAAGGGCCCAGAUCGCAAAGGUUUGAGAAUCCCUGCACUGUAUUAAACAUAGUGCUGUUCAAAACAACCAUUCCAAAUGUGAUCUGCCUUAGUUAAACCCAGCACAGGUCACAACUCAUAGAUUGGUGAGUGGCAAAUUAUUAGUCAGGAGGAACCAGAACGGAUCCACAGAGGCGCACUCAUAUGUUCUUCGGUUCUAUGUUCUAUUCUUGCGUCAAAACAACAUGACAUAACAUCAAAAUGCAUUGCAACAGCUGGCCACUUGAUGGGAAUGAAAAAGCGUUGAAGAUAACAUGUGUGUCUGCCUAACCACAUUUGCAUUUAGGACAUUUUAAAAGCUACUUCAAACAGCCAGAUAACCAUAUCCCAAUAACUCUCUCCCAAUAUGUUCUCAAUAACGGCAUAAUGAUAUCAACAUGAUUACUGUCAACAAUAAUUAUGGCCUAUAUAUACAAGUUUUUAUGGGUUUGCAAUUAACCAAGAGAACAUGCACUCGGUUGCCAGUUUAUAAUGGACACUUAGUGAAAACUAAUGCGGUCUAGAGUCCUUCAAAUGAUUAUUAUAAUGUUCAGUUUACGUUGAAACGUUUAAGAGAGGUGGCGAUUCAACGGCAUGAUCAUUUUGGAGGAUGUUUGUGGUGGUGUUAAACUGUAUUGAAUUAAAAACACAAAAGGUGUUUCUGUUAUUUAUAAAACACAUUCAGCAGCACCUCAAACGGCAGCCUCCAAAACAAACACACGGAAUCAAUAGCUCUCCAAACGGUCAAUAGCUCUCCAAACGGUCAAUAGCUCUCCAAACAAUCAAUAGCUCUCCAAACGGUCAAUAGCUCUCCAAACGGUUCUAUCUGCACCCAUGUGCUGUUGGACAGACGCAGUGCACCUGAUGCACAUACGAGCACAGAGUGUCUCCUGUGUUCUGAUUGGGUGAUGAGGGGCUCUAUGAAGAUGCACAUACCAGCACAGAGUGUCUCCUGUGUUCUGAUUGGGUGAUGAGGGGCUCUAUGAAGAUGCACAUACGAGCACAAAGUGUCUCCUGUGUUCUGAUUGGGUGAUGAGGGGCUCUAUGAAGAUGCACAUACGAGCACAGAGUGUCUCCUGUUUUCUGAUUGGCUCUAUGAAGACGCACAUCUUGCUCAAGCAAUUGUAUAACUGCCUUCGCAUUCGACCGUCGUUGGAUUCACAAUUUUCUGGUGGUAUGUUUUUUGCACAGCAAAUACAUUAGCAAAUAAUGCCCAGGUUCCUCUGAGUGUCUGCCUCUGUACAAGCUGGUGUCAUGACACAGAUCCCUGGCUCCUUAGUCAACAAAAGCCAAGAGCCAAGAGCUCACUUCUCAAACGCUCAUAAACCCACCACUUCAUUCUCCUUUUUUUCCUUGCUGUCACCAAGUGGUUACGGUUUACAUUGAAUUGUGUAUAAAUACAGUAUCUUGAUGCGAAGCCGUCCGUCCUUUGUAAACCGUGGCCAAACAUUCAGACAUUCAGGAUUUUACAUUACGUUGACAGGCGAUCUAUAGGCUUCAUGAUAGCCAAAUCAGUAUCCCGCACUCACAUUGAAGAAGAAUGAAAACACAAUAUAAUAUAAUAUAGAUGUGUGUGUGUGUGUAUUGUAAAUCUAAAAAAAUUAAACAUAUGGGUUUAAACACAGAAGUGCAACGAUGCAUGCAAUAUGCUUCCCAUUCGAGAUUGGAGACAAAAUGUCAGAGCCUAUGGGCCUUUUGCCAGGUCAGAGUUUAAUAUGAAGAUUGCUCUAAAUCGUGUCAUUAGAUUUUAUUCUUUCUUUGUGUAUAUGUCUUUUGGGUAUGGUAUUUUAUUAUAGAAGUAGAGUAGUGUAUCCAUAAUGCUUUCUAUUAGAUAUAAGGAACAAAAUGUCUGUGUUAUGCGAUUCGGAUAUACAUAUGGUGUUAAUGGCGCAUCAGUAAACGUCGUCGUCUUUUGCAUGGUCAACCUGGGUUAAAUUCCUCUCUGCAGCUUUGAUUGCAAGGGAUCUACUAAAUAUUGGAUAUUUACCUUCAUUUCCAACCUACUCAAAUGAAUGUUUGUAUAUUGUCUUCAUAUUUGUCUGUACAUCUUUCAGGUGUGGUAGUGUAUUAUGAAACUGCUAUGCUGUUGGCUAUGCAUUCAAACUUUCCCUCCAACUGCUUAUUUCUCAAAACUGCAACUGGAGAUUAUGUUCAUUCUUUGUGUACACAGAGCAUGGCAAAGGAGCAUGUGUCAACCAACCACUUAUUUUUUUUAUUUCCACAAUUGGCAAGAUGACCCAAUAUAUAUUUCACAUAUUCUACACUUCAAGAAAUACACAAGUAAAAAAUCACAUUAACAAGAAGCUACAAACCUUGGCUUAAACAAAUAAAACAUAAAAAGGUUAAAACCUCAAUUUAAGAUCUUUGAUGCAUUGCCUACUUACCAGGGAGUGUAAAUGAUUUGUAUUUGAUGAACUACAGGAUGUAGCUAGUUCUGUUGCCGUGGAGAUGGUCCUUGGUGCUAUAGGCAUCCUCCUGGAUUGUACUGGUUUGACUUGAGGUUUUGUGGCGGUCACCCCAGACGUACUCUUACUGGACAUGAAGGACAGGAAGCCUUUUGGCUUUCUUCCAGGUCUGCAAAACAGCAACACAGCCUGGUGACUCUCUAUACACAUGUGACAGUUUCAGUCCAUGAAGAGAGGCAGUUCUGUGAAACAUGGUUAACCCUUAGGCUGGAUUUGCAACAUGGUUGCACGUGUGGUUCCAGUCAGAAUUGACCAGAUGCAUGUGGGGAAAAGAGAGUGAGAACCAGGCUGUGUCCCAGGGUCUAUCCCGGGGAUCAGCUCAUAGCCAAAUGAAUGGAGCCUAGACAGCAAAAGAUUCAAAGCC